GAUGAACGCUGGCGGCGUGCCUAACACAUGCAAGUCGAGCGGCAGCGCGGGGUGCUUGCACCCUGUCGGCGAGCGGCGGACGGCUGAGUAACGCGUGGGAACGUGCCCCAAAGUGAGGAAUAACUGCCCGAAAGGGUAGCUAAUACCGCAUAUUAUCUUCGGAUCAAAGGAUUUAUCCGCUUUGGGAGCGGCUCGCGUCGGAUUAGGUAGUUGGUGAGGUAAUGGCUCACCAAGCCGACGAUCCGUAGCUGGUCUGAGAGGAUGACCAGCCAGACUGGAACUGAGACACGGUCCAGACUCCUACGGGAGGCAGCAGUGAGGAAUCUUCCACAAUGGGCGAAAGCCUGAUGGAGCAACGCCGCGUGUAGGACGAAGGCCUUCGGGUUGUAAACUGCUUUUAUAAGUGAGGAAUAUGACGGUAACUUAUGAAUAAGGAUCGGCUAACUACGUG
rnacentral:rRNA from 1 species